CAGGUAGGACCAACUUAAGCAUAUCAUAGGGGGGGA
rnacentral:rRNA from 1 species